GAGGUUCUACUACGCACAGGUCGACAC
rnacentral:sRNA from 1 species